GUCCCGAAAGUAAAAGCUUUUGUUUCCACAAUGGCUAAAAGCGAAUUUUCGCGUCGGAUCGGGUAGGGCGCGUGAAUCCGAUCCGGUGAAUCCGUAUUUUCUUGUGAACCCGAUCCGCGUUUUCGGGCUCACAAAACAGAUGGUUGGUGCUCACCGGGGUCAUCGUUGGGAUCCAGACUGGACCCCGCAGAACACUGGGGGGAGUGCGUAUAUUUGCGCCUAAUUUCUGAACGACAACAGAUCCAACAGGCCAUCAUGUUUACCGAAUUUCUCCUACAACGGUAUUCUGAUCGAAACUCGAGGGGAAAUGGUUCGAAAGGUAUGAAAAAUAAACUACAUCUCUAAGAAGAUUACCAACCAAAUCUAAGGUCUACUACUUUUCUCAGGAGAACUCGCAGAGAGAUGCAGCUCUACUCGCGCACCUCGCUCCGCGCUUUCCACCGAGGAAAGGCCUCUCUAGAUCACGUUUGCAGGGGUAAUGCUCCUCAGCUCGGGCACCACGUCCCACGCAACCGAAACCUAAGAGGUCCAAAGCUGGAGCAAAUCUUCGGUAAAGCCUUAUCCACCGUACCGCCUAUUUGCUCCAACCGCAGACACAACAAGCCAGAAUCGUUAAGUAAGAGGAGAAGUGCAGGCUCACCUCGCCGCGCACCUCGAUCGACGUACUUGAUUACUCGCUGGCCGUCUGCUGGAUCGGAACAGCUGACACCGGGCACGGCCGGGACCCCACUGGUUUUCAAAUUUCCAAAAAACCAUUUUUUUCGAUUAUCUACAAACUUAAACUUAAAAACGGGGGAAAAAGUUCCCCGUUACAGGGGGGAAGGGGGGUCUCUAACAGCCCUACGAGGGGGAGGGGGUGUAGAACUGAGCCUUUCGUAAGUUUACCAGCGUAUAUUUAAAGAAAAUUCAAAGCAUUUGACAUUCCAGAAAUGCAAUGCGGAAGAGUCAUUUUUUGUCGAACUAAAAACCAACAGGACCCAGCGUUUCAUUCGCAUCCAACCGUAAACGUCCGUAGUACCAAGUUUCCGCCAUUUUCCAGAUGCAAAAGGAUUGAUAAGCAUAAAACUACAUCUACCCCGUUUAAUCUAAGUUCAUCCUGAUUCAGUAACAAUCAUCCUUGCAGUAACAAUUUAAUGAAUUUGAUUUUAAAUUGAUGGUUUUUCGAAUAAAUUAAAUGUGUUGAGUUUUAUAAAUUAAGAUUAAAAUAAAAAAAAUCUAAUCACACAUA